rnacentral:rRNA from 1 species
UACGGAGGGUGCAAGCGUUAUCCGGAAUCACUGGGCGUAAAGGGCGCGUAGGCGGCCUGUUAAGUCCGAUGUUAAAGACUGGGGCUCAACCCCAGCAUUGCGUUGGAUACUGGCAGGCUUGACGGUUGGAGAGGCGAGUGGAAUUACCAGUGUAGCGGUGAAAUGCGUAGAUACUGGUAGGAACACCCAUUGCGAAGGCAGCUCGCUGGACAACACGUGACGCUGAGGCGCGAAAGUGUGGGGAGCAAAC